UACAGAGGGUGCAAGCGUUGCUCGGAAUCAUUGGGCGUAAAGGGCAAGUAGGUGGUCUCAUUUGUCUUGUGUGAAAUCCUUGGGCUUAACUCAAGAAGUGCGCAAGAAACGGUGAGACUCGAGUUCUGGAGAGGGUCGUGGAAUUCCCGGUGUAGCGGUGAAAUGCGCAGAUAUCAGGAGGAACACCGGUGGCGAAGGCGGGUCUCUGGGCCGAUACUGACGCUGAGGAGCGAAAGCGUGGGGAGCAAACAGG
rnacentral:rRNA from 1 species